AAAAAGUGAAGGGGAAUGGGUUUUCGCGACCUAAGGCUUUUUAAUCAAGCGCUUUUGGCCAAACAAGCUUGGCGCUUAUUGGUUUACCCGGAUUCCCUGUGUGCAAAGGUGAUGAAAGCUAAAUAUUAUCCUCAUGGACACGUAAUUGAUACGGUAUUCCCGCAAGCGACUUCCCUUACUUGGCAAGGUAUUAUGCAUGGGCUUGAGCUGUUGAAAAAGGGCAUUAUAUGGAGAGUUGUCGAUGGAACCAGUAUUAAUAUCUGGAGGGAUAAUUGGAUUCCUAGGGAAGCGGGUCUAAAAAUAACUGCUAAAAAGAAUCAAACGAGGAUCAAAUGGGUGUCUGAAUUAUUCAUGAGUGGGUCUAGGAGGUGGGAUGAGAAUCUGAUCAAACAUCUAUUUUAUCCUCAUGAUACAGAGGAAAUUUUAAAGCUUUGUAUUAUGAAUUUGGGUGAGGGAGAUCUACUUGCUUGGCACUAUGAGAAAAAUGGAUUAUUCUCUGUGAAGAGUGCGUAUAGACUGUCACUGUCUCUCAAGCAAUCAAUAGGUGAUUCCCGGAAUUUUAGUAAUGCCAUGAAUGGGGAACGGAGGCUCUGGAACAUAAUUUGGAAAGUGAAUGUUUCCUAG
rnacentral:rRNA from 1 species